UACGUAGGGUGCAAGCGUUAAUCGGAAUUACUGGGCGUAAAGCGUGCGCAGGCGGUUUUGUAAGUCUGAUGUGAAAUCCCCGGGCUCAACCUGGGAAAUGCAUUGGAGACUGCAAGGCUAGAAUCUGGCAGAGGGGGGUAGAAUUCCACGUGUAGCAGUGAAAUGCGUAGAGAUGUGGAGGAACACCGAUGGCGAAGGCAGCCCCCUGGGUCAAGAUUGACGCUCAUGCACGAAAGCGUGGGGAGCAAACAGG
rnacentral:rRNA from 1 species